rnacentral:misc_RNA from 1 species
GCCCUGCGCUCAGUAAUGUGAAUUGCAGAAUUCAGUGAAUCAUCGAAUCUUUGAACGCACCUUGCGCUCCUUGGUAUUCCUUGGAGCAUGCCUGUUUGAGUAUCAUGAAAUCUUCAAAGUAAAUCUUUUGUUAACUCAAUUGGUUUCUACUUUGGUAUUGGAGGUCUUUGCAGCUUCACACCUGCUCCUCUUUGUUCAUUAGCUGGAUCUCAGUGUUAUGCUUGGUUCCACUCGGCGUGAUAAGUUAUCUAUCGCUGAGGACACUGUAAAAGGUGGCCAAGGUAAAUGCAGAUGAACCGCUUCUAAUAGUCCAUUGACUUGGACAAUACUUUUAUGAUCUGAUCUCAAAUCAGGUAGGACUACCCGCUGAACUUAAGC